GGGGAUGUAGCUCAGUUGGUAGAGUGCUUGAUUAGCAUGUACAAGGCCCUGGGUUCAAUCCCUGGCACCACCA
rnacentral:tRNA from 1 species